GUAAAGAGUAACUCUUCUUGUUUCUUCUUCUUUUUUAUUUCUUUUUUUUUUUUUUUUUUUUUCCCCAGACUUGGUUUACUUGUUUUUCUUAAAUUCAGACCACUUCACUACUGUGGCUCAUAGCACAGUGUGCAGUUGAGUCAGCAAAGUGAGGAAGCUGCAAGCUGGGGGGCAGGACAUGGGCAGGAGGAAGGCAGUGCGGGAACAAGCAAGUGAGGCUUGUGGGGGAUAAUGCGUAUCUGCAAUCAACGCACAUGCAAGGAAGAAAAAUCAGACUGUACCCAGCAGAAAGAUUCUCCCAUAAUUACCCAACUUUUUCUGGUGAAGCGCCUGGGAUGUGUACCGUCACACAGCAUUUUGCAAGCGGUUUGAUUUGCUCACUGCGUUUCCUGUCCUCUUCUGAGGAAUCCAGGGAGCUCCCGGGCUGGAAAUGUGUGGCAACGAAGCGGACAGACCUCAUCUGGGGAGUGCUGGACUGUAUGGCAGAAGGGAUGAAGUGACCUCUCUGAUCCUUUCCAAAUCUGUAUCUUAGGACUGUGAUAAGAGACUGAAAUGUAAACCUUAUGCUAGCGUGUAAUGCACACUUUGAGCACAAAUGGAAACCGUGAGGGAGGGAAAAAAAAGUUUUAGUGUACUUUUCACACUGGAAAUGACUUAACCUCCUAUAUUUUCUUCCUCUUUUUUCUUUUUUUUUUCCCAGCAUACUCAUCUUACUACUCCCAGCAUACUACUCCCAGUAACUCAUUAACAAAGUUUCAGUGAAUUCAAAGCAAAGGCAAAGAGGAACAGUUUGCUCUCUUGCAGCAGUUAUUGAAUGUGCCCCCCAGUUACUUUUUUUCCCACAUUUCCUUUAAACUAACAAAGAGCUGUAAAUAAACACCCUUACAAGCCAAACAACAGACACCAAAUAUUUUGAGAAUGAAACUCAUCAGAAAGGCCCAUUCCCUGGGCAAAGCGCUCAAUCAGUUUAAUUUUUUUUUUCUUACUGAAAAUGUGGGUGGUUUUCAAAUACAGGAAAGAAAACAUGAUGGCUUGUGGUGAUACUUUCCACCAGAAAGAUGCAGCUUUAAGGGCUUUUGGUUUCCAAAUACCUACACCCACAGGAGUGGCCUCGUCUGUUGUAGAAGGCCAUGCCUGAUUAGUUGUACGAG
ensembl:lncRNA